rnacentral:rRNA from 1 species
GGGGAAUAUUGCACAAUGGGGGAAACCCUGAUGCAGCGACGCCGCGUGAGUGAUGAAGGUUUUCGGAUCGUAAAACUCUGUCCUAAGGGAAGAUAAUGACGGUACCUUAGGAGGAAGCCCCGGCUAACUACGUGCCAGCAGCCGCGGUAAUACGUAGGGGGCGAGCGUUAUCCGGAAUUAUUGGGCGUAAAGGGUACGCAGGCGGCCAGAUAAGUCAGGUGUGAAAGGCAUCGGCUCAACCGAUGUAAGCACUUGAAACUGUUUGGCUUGAGUACAGGAGAGGAGAGUGGAAUUCCUAGUGUAGCGGUGAAAUGCGUAGAUAUUAGGAGGAACACCAGUGGCGAAGGCGACUCUCUGGACUGAUACUGACGCUGAGGUACGAAAGCGUGGGGAGCAAAC